rnacentral:rRNA from 1 species
AGUGAACGCUGGCGGUAGGCCUAACACAUGCAAGUCGAACGGCAGCACAGUAAGAGCUUGCUCUUACGGGUGGCGAGUGGCGGACGGGUGAGGAAUACAUCGGAAUCUACUUUUUCGUGGGGGAUAACGUAGGGAAACUUACGCUAAUACCGCAUACGACCUACGGGUGAAAGCAGGGGAUCUUCGGACCUUGCGCGAUUGAAUGAGCCGAUGACGGAUUAGCUAGUUGGCGGGGUAAAGGCCCACCAAGGCGACGAUCCGUAGCUGGUCUGAGUGGAUGAUCAGCCACACUGGAGCUGAGACACGGUCCAGACUCCUACGGGAGGCAGCAGUGGGGAAUAUUGGACAAUGGGCGCAAGCCUGAUCCAGCCAUACCGCGUGUGUGAAGAAGGCCUUCGGGUUGUAAAGCCCUUUUGUUGGGAAAGAAAAGCAGCAGGUUAAUACCCCGCUGUUCUGACGGUACCCAAAGAAUAAGCACCGGCUAACUUCGUG